UACGGAGGAUGCGAGCGUUAUCCGGAUUUAUUGGGUUUAAAGGGUGCGUAGGCGGCUUUUUAAGUCAGCGGUGAAAUUUUGCAGCUUAACUGUAACAGUGCCGUUGAUACUGUUUGGCUAGGAUUUGGUUGUAGUGUGCGGAAUGUGUGGUGUAGCGGUGAAAUGCUUAGAUAUCACACAGAACACCGAUUGCGAAGGCAGCACACUAAGUCAUUAUUGACGCUGAGGCACGAAAGUGUGGGGAUCAAACAGGAUUAGAUA
rnacentral:rRNA from 1 species